rnacentral:lncRNA from 1 species
CUAGUACGGAUGGGAUUGGAUUUGGCCUUGGAGGAUUGGUCAGAGGGGAUGGAUGACAAGCAAUGGAUGUCUUUAGAGAAAAGAGCAUGUGCCGCGAUUAGGGCUUGUCUGACGGAUGAGAUUUUGAAUGGCGUGUUGGAAGAGAUCACCUAGGGGUUUGUGAUCGAUGUUACAUAUAUUGUACAUGAAGAAAAAUAUGUGCAAUAAAUUGAUGCUGAAGAAGCAAUUAUAUAGCCUCUGGAUGCAGGUGAAGAAAAGCUAGGGCAAUUUAUGCAUGGAUUUUAAAAAUUUUUAUGCAAGCGGAAGGAAACUAG